GUGAGUGUCGUGGAGUUUGUGUUCAUCUGAGUGUGACGGAGGUUUUUGUACCACGCUUUCACUAGAAUGAAGCACUGUGGUGGACUUUUGGUGGAGGAACUAAACUGACGAUUGCUGGUCCCGCAGUGAAGCCCUCCAUGUCUCUGCUGCCUCCCUCUUCUCUGCAGAUCCCUGGAGACUCAGCCGCACUGCUCUGCCUGCUCAGCUCUUACUCUCCACAGGGGGCGCAGGUGAGCUGGACGCUGGACGGGUCAGAGGUCACCGAGGGGGUUCAGACCAGCGCAGAGAGCGAGCGGGACGGACGCUACAGCCGCAGCAGCGUCCUGAGCCUCAGCAAAGCACGCUGGGAAGACGGCGAGCGCUUCGUCUGCAGAGUAACACAUGACGGAGCUGAUCACGAGACCUCGUUCCUCAAGAGCUCCGAGUGCUGAUGUUUCUCCAGUGAAGAGCAGCAGGAUUCACAGCAGUCACCUGAUUUACAGCUCAAUACUCAAGCAGUCUUUCAA